UACGUAGGGGGCAAGCGUUGUCCGGAAUCAUUGGGCGUAAAGCGCGCGUAGGCGGCCCGGUAAGUCCGCUGUAAAAGUCCAGGGCUCAACCCUGGAAAGCCGGUGGAUACUGCCGGGCUAGAGUCCGGAAGAGGCGAGUGGAAUUCCUGGUGUAGCGGUGGAAUGCGCAGAUAUCAGGAGGAACACCAAUUGCGAAGGCAGCUUACUACACAACUAUUGACUCUGAUGCACGAAAGCGUGGGGAUCAAACAGG
rnacentral:rRNA from 1 species